CAGUAGCCGCGGUAAUACAGAGGGUGCAAGCGUUAAUCGGAAUUACUGGGCGUAAAGCGCGCGUAGGUGGUUUGUUAAGUUGGAUGUGAAAUCCCCGGGCUCAACCUGGGAACUGCAUCCAAAACUGGCAAGCUAGAGUAUGGUAGAGGGUGGUGGAAUUUCCUGUGUAGCGGUGAAAUGCGUAGAGAUCUGGAGGAAUACCGGUGGCGAAGGCGGCCCCCUGGACAAAGACUGACGCUCAGGUGCGAAAGCGUGGGGAGCAAACAGGAUUAGAUACCCCCGUAGUCCCUGUAUCUUAUAC
rnacentral:rRNA from 1 species